CAACCCGUCUCUGUUGCAAAAGAGUGGGAAGAUUUUCAAGUAGAGGUGACAAGCCUAUCGAACUUAGAGAUAGCUGGUUGUUCAGGAAAAGAGUCCCAGCUCUACCUUAAGUUUUUCAAUUAACCUAAACAAAAUCCUAGACUUAAGAGCUAUUCAAGUAAGGCACAGCUUACUUGAAACAGGGUACAACCUCCCACAUUGGGUAAACAAGAACAAAUUAAACAAAGUGGGCCUAAGAGCAGCCAUCUUAUAAAAAGCGUUAAAGCUUAACUUACAUGCACUCAUAAUUCCAAUAGUUAUUAUUAACCCCUCAUUACUACUGAACUAUUUUAUAACCUUAUAAAAAUUAUUAUGCUAGAACUAGUAACAUGAAUACUUUUCUCCUUAAUGUAAGCUUAAACCAUAAUGGACCGUCCACUGGUAUUUAACGUAACUGUUCUUAUUAUAGCAACAUACGUCUAGAAAACCCUAUAAUCAAUAACGUUAACCUUACACUAGAACAUUAUAGGAAAGAUUAAAAGAAAGAGAAGGAACUCGGCAAACCCCAGCCCCGCCUGUUUACCAAAAACAUCGCCUCUUGCCUAACAUAAGAGGUCCAGCCUGCCCAGUGACAUAGUUUAACGGCCGCGGUACCCUAACCGUGCAAAGGUAGCAUAAUCACUUGUUCCCUAAAUAGGGACUAGUAUCAAUGGCAUCACGAGGGCUACACUGUCUCCUCUCUCCAAUCAGUGAAACUGAUCUCCCCGUGAAGAAGCGGGGAUUUUAGUAUAAGACGAGAAGACCCCAUGGAGCUUUAAACUUAAUACACACCUCUUCCCAUCUACACCAAUUAACCCUAAAAGUCUGUGUAUUAGUUUUAGGUUGGGGGGACCGCGGAGUACAACUCAACCUCCACGACAAACGGGCCAACGCCCUUAUACAUGAAACACAAUUCUAAGAAUCAACAAUCUGAUGUUUUAUGACCCGACAAGUCGAUCAACGAACCAAGUUACCCUGGGGAUAACAGCGCAAUCUA
rnacentral:rRNA from 1 species